rnacentral:lncRNA from 1 species
AUUUUUAGGUAUUUCUUUCGGUGCGCCUACAUUUAGCUUUCAAGGGUAUACCUUCGUGCCACUAAAAAUGUUUAUUCUUACUUCAUGUAUGCUCUAAUAUAUAAUUGGUUUUUUUCCUGUAUCUCCACUUCAAAUGCGCUUUAAUUCUUACACUUCUACUUACUUCAUGAAGCUCCACAUUUUUCUACAGGUAUAUCUAAAGAGUCAAAUAUGAAUGAUAAUACUUGAGCUUCUUCCAAAGCAUUUAUCACUAAAUUUAGAAAGAACUCUCCUGAAAGAUUACCAUAAUUUGAAAGAACAAUUAAAUAUCUUCAUGGAAAACUUAUCUUUUGUUUAUAACUACAAAGUGAACAUUAUAGAACUCAAACAAGAGAUGACUUCUCUGUCAACAUAUUUGAUUGUUCUUUUAGAUUGUGUUAUUAUUUUAGGAGAGUUCUUUUUUAAGUUUGGUGAUAGUUACUUUGGAAGAAGCUCAAACUUUAGACUCCAGCAUAUUUCAUAUUAAGAGGUAAUUCCUAAACCUACGUCAAUUUUUCCUCAAUUUAAAGUCCUGAAUUAUGUGUUCAGAAGGAAUUAUAUUGUCAUUGUAUAAUCAAUUGUGAAACCAUUUUUGUUCCAGCAGUUGAAAAUAUCUCUAUGCCUCAGAAGCCCAGGUAUUCUCUUCUUUUCUUUGCACACUUCUCUCCUCCUCAGCGUGAUGGUCAUUAGGAUUUCUUAAUGCUUGUUGAGUCGAAUUUAAAUUCAUGUUUGUUCACAGUUUUUAUCUUAGCCAAUAAUGCUUAGAGUUUCUUUAAAUUAAUUGUAUUCAAUUGCAUAUAAUGCAAUUGGAGUGUUAACAAAGGUAUAAACAGGGGUUCAAGUAUUCGUUAGACCAACUAACAAGCUACGGAAGCUCUUACCUUGCAUGAACUAUCAGUUUGUAUUAUUCGUUUAACUAUUCUAACUAUUUGUUUUUUUUAUUGAAAGCAGGAGAAAAAAAAAAUCAAAUCAUUUCAUUUUUACUUGUAUGGAAAUUAUUCUUUUUUAAUACAACAUUGGUUUAGGCGUCAAUCGGAUCUUAUAGCUUUAAUAGUGUACGUGAAUAAAACUUUUUGCUUUACGAAUGUAGGUCUAGAAAUAGGUGGUCAGCUGAACUUGGAAACAAGGAUUCGGUUAGCUGAACUUGGCAACAAGGAUCUAGGUGGCUCAUGCGGCUCUCGAGCAUCGCUUGAAGGUAACACAAUAAAAAAGGAUUAUUGCAUUCAGGGUAGGGUAAUCUCUACUUCUAAUAAUUUCAUUAUCCUCAAUCUUUUUCUUCUUUUGUUUUGUUCUCUUUACUAAUUGUUACACUUUGUGAGUUUAGCCCUCUGAAAUGUGACGAUGAGUUAGAGAUUAUUGGAAGGACAUUAAAAAGGAACAGUGUGUCUGUCACUGUAGUUAACUUUGAUGAGGAAGAUGAGGAAAUGCCCUUUUUGACAUGCUGACCCCAUGUUGCAAAGUACUGCUCUAUUUUACGUAUGCUUCUCACUAGAAUAUGGUCCUACAUUUUACUUUGAACGAUUGCUAAUUUUGCAUAAUUCGACAUAUUCAUUACAGGAAUCGUAUUGUAUAUUCAAGUGCAAAACUAUCCCAUUUGAUACCUUGUAAUUUUUAAUUUUUUAGCAGUUGAUGGCAGUAUUGUUGCAAAGAAAAGACGCAUUAGAAUGGGCUCAUACAGGAAAAGAUGCCGUCAAGUCAAUCUGGUUCUUGCCUGUU